ACAGCGAUUAUCAGGAGCGAUGCUGUUAAUAUUUGCAAAUAAGCAGGAUAUACAAGGUUCCCUGUCACCGGAUGAGAUAGCUAGAGUUCUGAACUUAGAUUCCAUGGACAAAAGCCGGCACUGGAAAAUCGUGGGAUGUAGUGCAUUUACCGGGGAAGGGCUGCUCGAAGGGUUUGAUUGGAUGGUUCAAGACAUAGCCUCGAGAAUUUACAUGCUUGACUAAAUGCAAUUGCAUCCACAUUCCACCCCUGGCCUUUUGUUACUCGUGUGGGGUGCUACUCGAACCCAGCGGUAGGAGCCUCAGAUUCCUCCUCGUUGCAGAAAAAAAUGAAGUUUCUGACGAGAUCAGAGAUGUAUUCAAAGUGGAUAGAAGCUGGCUUCUUGUUGUUUGUUGUCAUUCAAAUAGGGAAAGAAUGCAGCAAAGCUCCAUUCUCAUAUUUUGGAGAGAUGGACGUUUUCUAUGUGGUUUACUCGACCUACUUUGAAGUUUUGCACUUUGUAACUCAUCAUGAUCAUAGAUUUAUAGUAAUUCACUCUCUCAAUUUAGUUAUUUUGAUCUAAA